CCCAUUUUGUUGGAAAAAGCAGGGCAUUUUUUCUUCUGCGGCAUCACUGGUGAAGAGCUGUAAGCAGCAUCAUCCAAUAUAAUCUGAAGUGCCCAAAGAUGCAGAGACGUGAACGGGGACCACUUUCAGCAUCUUUUGUGGCUUGUUGUUUAUUA